CUUAUUUUAAAAUAAUAUUUCAUAUUUAUGGGCCUAGGUAGGCUACAUAUAUUUAACUAUAUAAAUAAUUUUAAUUGAAAAAUAAUAUGUCAUAUUUUUAUAUUAUAAAAUAAGUUGCAAAAUGAAAACUCAAAUCCUAGGCCUAUAGUCACCGGUCACAGAGGCUUAUGCAAAGAAUCACAACGCGGCGUCUUCCGCGUGAUCCAGGCCUCUGACAGUACCAACCGACCCGUACACGGUGUACUGCCAUAGCUAGUUUUAAAUGGAGUUGCGUCAACUCGUACCAACUGGGAGACAACAUUACUAACUCAUCACGGCGGUUCCAAUAUAGACAAACAAUACUGCGCCCCCAGUUGUUCAUUAUUAGAUAAUUUCGUAGUGAGGGCGCUAUUGCACAAACACGGAAGUGAUAAUUUUUAUUCUGCAUGACGUAGGGGUAAUUAAAUGACCAACCAGCAGCCUUAGACGUUAGAAAAAUAAUGAAUAUUCAUGAUAUUAUCGAAGAAGAGAUGCUGAACAGUUGAAAAACACGAAGCAGUCACGAUGGUCAUGCUUCCCUAGUUGUGUUUUAGGCUAAUUGCAGCCAAGAUUCAACAGUUUGAAGCAUACUGCCUUACUUGAAGACGUUUCACAAAGUAGGGAGAAAUGGAAAUGAAUAGUCUGAGAAGUCUACAGAAUGAUAGUGAAGUAGACCGAUAACAAAGCCUGCAAAAGCAACAUGAAGACGGACAGCUUAGCAGCAGGUUUAUAUUUGUAGAUGCCAGCAGAAACAAGCCAAAACAAAUGGCCGCCUUGGAAACUAUAGGAUAUUAGCCCAAUACAGUAGUAAUACAGUUGAUGAUUUACUUUCAUAUUAAAUUGUG
rnacentral:lncRNA from 1 species